UACAAAAUGGGAGCAAAACCAAAAGUGUUGCGUUUAUAUUUUUGUUGAGUAUAGUUUCUCAGCCCAGCGGGAUAGCUUUCCAUUUGUGUUUUGAUUGGGUAACUAGAAAUCCACUGUUCCAUUUUGGGCUAAAAGUUGCAAUUUGUGUGGUUUUCCACUGAAAACAAUGAGAAGUGUUUGCUCCUGCUGGUCUUUGGAUGCAAAAGAUGCAAAAAUCUAAGGUACUAUGCAAGGUUACCAAAUGCACAAUACAUGUCGCUAUAGUAACAGUAGAAUGAUGGAUGUACCAAAGGACCAUUCCCAUCAGUCACGACUCACGAGUAGUUAGCACGUGGCUUUUUCUCAUGUCAAGCUUAAAUUACACUUCAUUUUUGUCUUGUUAUGGCGGAAUACAAACACUGUGUUCAUUGAUGUUAGUCAUUAAAAAGAUUUGUUGUAAUCCAGCUGAUGUGCACGUACACUCAUGGUAUUUUUCCAACACAUCCAUGCGUCUGAGCACUUCACUGUCACACUUUGAGCAUUUCUUCUGUUAAAGCUAUUAAUUAUGGUGUACAUAGAAGCUUCUGUUUGUGUAUUGUCCUGUUUUCCCCCCUAGCUGAAAAUAAAAUGAUAUACACAAAUGUCUUUUUAUGAAGAAUGGGGUGAGGUUGGUGUCUUGUACCAUGUCUUUGAUUUGGUGGAACAUUCUUGUGCGGCAGCAUCAUCUCUGGCCUUUGAUAGCUGAAGUAAAAUAUGGUGCAUCAAAAC